rnacentral:rRNA from 1 species
GGGGAAUUUUGGACAAUGGGGGCAACCCUGAUCCAGCCAUGCCGCGUGAGUGAAGAAGGCCUUCGGGUUGUAAAGCUCUUUCGGCCGGGAAGAAAUCGUGCAGGCUAAUACCCUGUCUGGAUGACGGUACCGGAAUAAGAAGCACCGGCUAACUACGUGCCAGCAGCCGCGGUAAUACGUAGGGUGCAAGCGUUAAUCGGAAUUACUGGGCGUAAAGCGUGCGCAGGCGGUUUUGUAAGACAGUGGUGAAAUCCCCGGGCUCAACCUGGGAACUGCCAUGGUGACGGAAAGGCUGGAGUGCUGCAGAGGGGGAUGGAAUUCCGCGUGUAGCAGUGAAAUGCGUAGAUAUGCGGGGGAACAACGAUGGCGAAGGCAAUCCCCUGGGCCUGCACUGACGCUCAUGCACGAAAGCGUGGGGAGCAAACA